AUAAUGGAGAGUUUGAUCCUGGCUCAGGACGAACGCUGGCGGCGUGCCUAAUACAUGCAAGUCGAGCGGAACCAUUGGAGCUUGCUCCUUUGGUUUAGCGGCGGACGGGUGAGUAACACGUGGGCAACCUGCCCUGCAGAUCGGGAUAACUCCGGGAAACCGGUGCUAAUACCGAAUAGUUUAGGGCCUCUCAUGAGGCUGUACGGAAAGACGGUUUCGGCUGUCACUGCAGGAUGGGCCCGCGGCGCAUUAGCUAGUUGGUGAGGUAACGGCUCACCAAGGCCACGAUGCGUAGCCGACCUGAGAGGGUGAUCGGCCACACUGGGACUGAGACACGGCCCAGACUCCUACGGGAGGCAGCAGUAGGGA
rnacentral:rRNA from 1 species